AGCCUACGGGACGCAGCAGUCGGGAAUAUUGCACAAUGGAGGAAACUCUGAUGCAGUGACACCGCGUAUAGGAAGAAGGUUUUCGGAUUGUAAACUAUUUUAGACAGGGAAGAAAAAAGACAGUACCUGUAGAAUAAGCCACGGCUAACUACGUGCCAGCAGCCGCGGUGAUACGUAGGUGGCAAGCGUUAUCCGGAUUUAUUGGGUGUAAAGGGCGUGUAGGCGGGAACGCAAGUCAGAUGUGAAAACUCAGGGCUCAACCCUGAGCCUGCAUUUGAAACUGUGUUUCUUGAGUGCUGGAGAGG
rnacentral:rRNA from 1 species